GAUGAACGCUGGCGGCGUGCCUAAUACAUGCAAGUCGAGCGAACAGACGAGGAGCUUGCUCCUCUGACGUUAGCGGCGGACGGGUGAGUAACACGUGGAUAACCUACCUAUAAGACUGGGAUAACUUCGGGAAACCGGAGCUAAUACCGGAUAAUAUAUUGAACCGCAUGGUUCAAUAGUGAAAGACGGUUUUGCUGUCACUUCUAGAUGGAUCCGCGCCGCAUUAGCUAGUUGGUAAGGUAACGGCUUACCAAGGCAACGAUGCGUAGCCGACCUGAGAGGGUGAUCGGCCACACUGGAAGUGAGACACGGUCCAGACUCCUACGGGAGGCAGCAGUAGGGAAUCUUCCGCAAUGGGCGAAAGCUUGACGGAGCAACGCCGCGUGAGUGAUGAAGGUCUUCGGAUCGUAAAACUCUGUUAUUAGGGAAGAACAAAUGUGUAAGUAACUAUGCACGGCUUGACGGUACCUAAUCAGAAAGCCACGGCUAACUACGUG
rnacentral:rRNA from 1 species